CGGCGCGGCACAGUAGUUCCCCCGGCGCCGGGCUCCCUCGCGUUAGACGUGCUGUGUUGUGAUCACGUGGGCAGCUCCGGGCGCGGCGCUUGUUUUGGUUUCCCUCUAAGUUGCCCACGGCAGCUUCUGGGUGAGCGACUUUCCUGCACCUCCCCACACCCUGACCUCGUCUUCGGGCUCUCUCAGCCCGCAGUUCCGCAAGCCCCUGGGGCGGGCUCCUGCCAUGCCGCUGGUCCGUUACAGGAAGGUGGUCAUCCUCGGAUACCGCUCUGUAGUCCGAAAGGACAGAGGAUGUGAAUGUGGAUGAUUUGGAUACAGCUGCCACACUGCUCCCCACAGGGAAGACAUCUUUGGCACAUCAAUUUGUGGAAGGCGAGUUCUCGGAAGGCUACGAUCCUACAGUGGAGAAUACUUACAGCAAGAUAGUGACUCUUGGCAAAGAUGAGUUUCACCUACACCUGGUGGACACAGCAGGGCAGGAUGAGUACAGCAUUCUGCCCUAUUCAUUCAUCAUUGGAGUCCAUGGUUAUGUGCUUGUGUAUUCUGUCACCUCUCUACAUAGCUUCCAAGUCAUUGAGAGUCUGUACCAAAAGCUACACGAAGGCCAUGGGAAAACCCGGGUGCCAGUGGUUCUAGUUGGGAACAAGGCAGAUCUCUCUCCAGAGAGAGAGGUACAGGCAGUUGAAGGGAAGAAGCUGGCAGAGUCCUGGGGUGCGACAUUUAUGGAGUCAUCUGCUCGAGAGAAUCAGCUGACUCAAGGCAUCUUCACCAAAGUCAUCCAGGAGAUUGCCCGUGUGGAGAAUUCCUAUGGGCAAGAGCGUCGCUGCCAUCUCAUGUGAGCCCUUGGGUGUGGUGUAACUGCCUUGUUUCUGCCUCUGGCACUUGCCAUGUUCCAGUAGGGGGUCAGACCCUCAGGACUUCACGGGUAUGGUUGCCAGCUGUGUUCCUGACCCCUGGACACACAGUGUGGCAUCCUCAUGUUUGCACACUUUCCCCAGGCUCUAGUGGCCUGGAUGUCAAUGUUUACAAAGGGGCAAGGACCUCUCAUGGACACUGGCCUCUAGCCCUCUGUUUUUGCUAGAUGAAUUCUGUUAUAACCUGUGGGGUCAGGAUAUGAGUCCUGGGCAUUAUUUAUCCAGGACCCAUCCUCUUGGGUGAGUUUUGGGUGUUGGCUGGGUAAGGGGAGCCAGGGACUUCUGAAAUAGAGCUGGCUCCCUGGGGUGACAAUGUAUAUAUGCAAAUAAACUGAGAAAUCUUUUGUUGUUGA